UACGUAGGGGGCGAGCGUUGUCCGGAGUUACUGGGCGUAAAGCGCACGCAGGCGGUCUGUUAAGUUUGGAGUGACAGUUGGUGGCUCAACCACCAAAGUGCUUUGAAAACUGGCAGACUUGAGGGCUUCAGAGGGACACGGAAUUCCGGGUGGAGUGGUGAAAUGCGUAGAGAUCCGGAGGAACACCGAAGGCGAAGGCAGUGUCCUGGGGAGUACCUGACGCUCAGGUGCGAAAGCCAGGGGAGCGAACGGG
rnacentral:rRNA from 1 species